UUCCCAUAUCUCCUCUCUCCAUAUCCCCACUGACACGCCAUUAUAGACAGAAUCAUUCUUCAAGCCAUCAACCAAAAUCCUCAUCGACACGGCAUCAACCGAUCUCUCUUCAGAUAUCCAUCUCCUCUCUCUCACGGAUCUGCCCAGACAUUUGGUCCAUUCGCUUGUGGCUUCUGCCUAGACAUAGUUGGUUUUGGUCCGGUUUGGGACUGGUGGAAGUAGGAGGUACCAACGGCGAGGACAGGUUCCCAGUGAAAACGGUUUAGGUACAUCUAGGGAAUGGGAACGGGAAUUUGGAGCUUGACUUGAAGCUGGGUGCGCGUGUAAAUGUCUACAACAAGUGAUUUGUCAAGUGGUCCCCCGUUAUGUCGCUGUGGAAUUCCUGUACGUCUAAGGAACUCUAGGACCGAGACCAAUCCUGGUAGAAAGUGGUAUGAAUGUAUUAACUACAAGAAACCCGGUGAUUGUAAUUUUUUUGAGUGGGCUGAUAAGGAAAUUACUGGUUGCGAGAAGAGAUUAAUGGAAUAUUUGCAACAAAUGAAGGAUAGAAUGCAUGCUGAUAACGUAAGAGUUGAGGAACUCAAUGAACGAAAGUGCCGUGAACAUUGUGAUAAACUACAGAGGGAGUUAGUGUCCAGUCAAAAUAAUGGCAAUAUGUUAAGGGGUGCGUUGUUAGUUGUAAUUUUGGUUUUAGUCUUUUAUUUUUGUGGUUUUAGUAGACCUAGAAGUACCAAGUUGAUGUUAAAAUGAUAAUUAUUGAAGAAGUUUGG